CCCGCCGCCUCCCGCCGCCUCCCGCCGCCCGCUUCGGCCCGGCCGUCAUGAUCGCGCCGGAGGUGGAGGCGCUCGUCUCCCAGAAGUACGAGAUCAAGAGGCGCCUGGGCAAGGGGGCUUAUGGCAUUGUAUGGAAAGCAAUUGAUCGCAGGACAGGCGAAAUAGUGGCUGUUAAAAAGAUUUUUGAUGCUUUCAGAAACAAAACAGAUGCUCAGAGAACGUUUCGAGAGAUUAUGUUCCUACAGGAAUUUGGAGAACAUCCAAAUAUCAUCAAGCUGCUGGAUGUUAUCCAAGCUCAGAAUGAUAAGGACAUCUACCUCAUCUUUGAGUCCAUGGAGACAGAUUUACAUGCUGUGAUUAAGAAGGGGAAUUUGCUGAAAGAUAUCCACAAGUGUUACAUUCUCUACCAACUCCUGAAGGCAACUAAAUUCAUCCACUCAGGAAAUGUUAUUCACAGAGAUCAGAAGCCUUCAAAUAUCUUGCUGGAUGCAGACUGCUUUGUCAAACUUUGUGACUUUGGGCUGGCCCGUUCUUUACGUCAGAUGAAUGAGGACCAAGUCAACCCUGCUCUAACAGAGUAUGUGGCAACACGCUGGUACCGAGCGCCUGAGAUCUUACUUUCCUGUCGGAGUUACACUAAAGGUGUAGACAUGUGGAGCAUUGGCUGUAUUCUGGGAGAGCUGCUACUUGGGAAACCUCUUUUUCCUGGAACUUCAACAGUGAAUCAAAUAGAGCAGAUCUUGAGGGUCAUUCCUGCCCCAUCCCCAGAAGACAUUUUGGCUGUGCAGCCAGAUUACAGAGCCUCAGUUAUUAACCGCAUCAGUUCCCGGCAGCGAGUAACAUUUGAGGAGAUUUUACCAUCCUCUACUCCAUUGCCUGCCUUGGAUCUUCUGAAGAAACUUUUAGUAUUUAACCCUGACAAACGACUCACAGCAGAGGAGGCUUUGCAGCAUCCUUAUGUGAAAAGGUUUCACUGUCCUGCCAUGGAGCCCUCUCUGGGUCAUGAUGUGGUUCUUCCUUUAGGUGAUGAUAUCCAGCUGUCUGUGGCAGAGUACCGGAAUAAAUUAUAUGAGAUGAUUCUUGAAAAGAAAUCAGACAGCCAUCCAAAGGAGCAAAUGUGGAGAGAAAACAUACAAAACAGUCAGUCUGAAUCUAGGCCGCUUCCAAACUCCACUUCUGUGAUUUUAUCUACCAAGAAAGGCCAGAUAGAACCAAUACCACCUCUUCUAAAAGCUCCACAUGUGCAUGCUGAAACUACAUGUGGUAUCCAGACAGAAGUAUCCAGCCAGAAUGAAGAUUUAACAAGAUCUUUAUGUCAGAGAUCAAAGAUCCAUGUGAUAUACAAUCCUAUAACACACACUGCUGUUCAAAGUAAUACAAAUUCUGGUGCUCUUCUCAGGAACUCUUCAGCAUCACUUUCUCAACAGGCCAGAACUUUCAACAAUAGGAAACUGGAGAGACAAAUCACAUGGGCAAAAACAAAUGCUGGGCUACCUCCUACAAGUGUACAGAAUCUUUACAAUAAUCCAAGAAAUACUCAGUUUCACAGCAAAGAUGUUCGUCCCCCUCUGAAGUCCAGUAAAAAGAUGUUCCAGAUUACUGCAAAUAUGGGAGCUGCUGGUGACCCAAAAGCAUCGAUGGGCAGUUACUCUCAGGCCUAUGGAACCAUAUGUAAAUCUGCGCUGCAGAGUCUUCCAAUAUCGAAGUCCUCCCAGCAACUUAAGCAGUGAAUAUGGAAAUGUUCUAACCAGAAAAUCUUUGUCUUUCAAUCAAUUUUUGCUGUGUGUGAAAGAAAAAAUCCAGAAGUAUCUUGUUCAAUGAAUAAUACAAAUGCUGGGACUACAGUUACAGAGGGGAUUAAGGAACUGUAUUUUAACAUGUGAGUAUCACUGCCAUUGAUGGAAUAUCCAUUUUAUCUUGUAGUAUGUAAACACUAUUUUUAGUUUAUAUAGAUUAUAUAGUUAGUUAUAUAGAUUUAGUAAUCUGAACAAAAGGCUAGCUAAGUAAAAAAUCAAAAUAUUCACUUCUGAUGCCAGGUGUGGUCACUCAAGUCUGGUAAUACUAGGCUGGGAAUGCAGCUCUCAGGUAAGUCCUGGUUUAUUCUGGUAUAUUCAUAAAAUAGGCAUUUCCUAUCUAUCCCAGGUACAGGUAGAUACAGAAAACGGCAAUGACAGGGUGAACGUAUUGUGUAGUGUUCUGUGAAGCAUGACAGCUCUUGUGAAUCCAAGAUGCCUGUUCUCAUGCAUGGAAAAGGAAGCCUACCGCUUAAUUCAGGGUUGACUUCUACUGAAAGACAGCACCCAGCAGUUUGAUGAUAAAAUGAGAUAACAAAGAUCCUCUGUGAACCUGAUCUCAGAGGUGAUGGGCUGUAACAUUAACCUUUUAUUCUUAAAAUGGCUUUUGUUAUUACAAAGUGAAUUAAUUACUCUGCAAUAUUUGUAUGCACCUACAACAUUUGGUAAUCAACUUAGCACUAAAAGAGAUGUGUCAUUCUAGUUCUGGUCAGGAACCUGAGCUUACACUGAACAGACCAUGCUGAGUAAAACAAAUUCUAAAACUAAAAAAUACAGCAAAAUUCUAAAAUAUUAAUGUAAUCUGUGACUACAGCAAUCAUUAAAUAUCUAACUUUGUUACAGAAUGGUACUGGAGCUGGUGGGUUUAGGAAAGGCUGGGGAGGUGUGGAAUGAUGUAAGACUUGCACAGACCAGACAGCACAUAUAUAAUAGGAUAUGUAUCUCUAUAGC